rnacentral:rRNA from 1 species
CCUACGGGAGGCAGCAGUGGGGAAUAUUGGACAAUGGGCGCAAGCCUGAUCCAGCAAUGCCGCGUGAGUGAUGAAGACCUUAGGGUUGUAAAGCUCUUUUACCCGGGAUGAUAAUGACAGUACUGGGAGAAUAAGCUCCGGCUAACUCCGUGCCAGCAGCCGCGGUAAU